rnacentral:rRNA from 1 species
CACGGGGGGAGCAAGCGUUGUUCGGAAUCACUGGGCGUAAAGGGCGCGUAGGCGGCCUGCUAAGUCACACAUGAAAUCCCUCGGCUCAACCGGGGAACUGCGUGUGAUACUGGCGGGCUUGAAUUCGGGAGAGGGUCGUGGAAUUCCCGGUGUAGCGGUGAAAUGCGUAGAGAUCGGGAGGAACACCAGAGGCGAAAGCGGCGACCUGGACAGGCACUGACACUCAACUGCGAAAGCGUGGGGAGCAAACAGG